UACGUAGGGCGCAAGCGUUAUCCGGAAUUAUUGGGCGUAAAGAGCUCGUAGGCGGUUUGUCGCGUCUGCUGUGAAAGACCGGGGCUCAACUCCGGUUCUGCAGUGGGUACGGGCAGACUAGAGUGAUGUAGGGGAGACUGGAAUUCCUGGUGUAGCGGUGAAAUGCGCAGAUAUCAGGAGGAACACCGAUGGCGAAGGCGGGUCUCUGGGCCGAUACUGACGCUGAGGAGCGAAAGCGUGGGGAGCGAACAGG
rnacentral:rRNA from 1 species